rnacentral:rRNA from 1 species
GACGAACGCUGGCGGCGCGCUUAACACAUGCAAGUCGAGCGAAGCGGCGGACGGGUGAGUAACACGUGAGUAACCUUCCUUAGACAUUGGGAUAGCCUCGGGAAACCGGGAUUAAUACCACAUGGUCUAAGAUGGACUCGCGUCCCAUUAGCUAGUUGGUGGGGAACGGCCCACCAAGGCGACGAUGGGGAGCCGGCCGGAGAGGGUGAACGGCCACAGUGGAACUGAGAAACGGUACAAACGCGACGGGAGGCAGAAGUGGGGAAUAUGGCACAAUGGAGGGAACACUGAGGCAGCGACGCCGCGUGAACGAAGAAGGCUUUCGAGCCGUAAAGUUCUUUUAUAUGGGAAGCGGUACCAUAAGAAAAAGCCCCGGCUAACUACGUGCCAGCAGCCGCGGUAAUAC